rnacentral:rRNA from 1 species
GACGAACGCUGGCGGCGUGCUUAACACAUGCAAGUCGAACGGAAAGGCCCUGCUUUUGUUUGGUGCUUGAGUGGCGAACGGGUGAGUAACACGUGAGUAAACUGCCCUUGACUUUGGGAUAACUCCAGGAAACUGGGUCUAAUACAGGAUAGGAGCUUCUGCUGCAUGGUGGGGGUUGGAAAGUUUCGGCGGUUGGGGAUGGACUCGCGGCUUAUCAGCUUGUUGGUGGGGUAGUGGCUUACAAAGGCUUUGAGGGGUAGCCGGCCUUGGAGGGGGACCGGGGACAGGGGGACUAAGGGACGGCGCAGAAUGGAACGGUAGGCAGUAGUGGGGAGUAUGGCACGACGGGCGGAAGUGUGAGAUAGAGAUGCUGCGAUCGUGAUGACGGCUUAUGAGUGAUGAACAGAUUUCGAAUGAGAUGUACAGAUAGUGACGGUAAUGGGUAAAAAAGCAACGGCUAACUACGUG